CCUUCACAUAAUGUCUCUCCUUUAUCCUAUUAAUAUCUCUUUUUCUUUCUUUUUUUUUUUUAGGAUUAUUAUUCUCAUUUUAAGGAUGAGGAAACCAAGAGCCAGAGAGUUUAAAUGUCUUACCAAUCCUGUCAGACAUUUGCUUCUAGCCAUAACUGAGUGGCUAUAUUGGUCUAAUCUUCCCACUGAAAAUAAUUAUAAAGGCCUGAGAAGAUAAAUAAAGCAAGUAUUUGAAGGUAUCUGGGAGUAACCAACACAGACAAGGACGUGGGGCUAUGAUUCCUGAGAGAAGGGAAGCAACUGAGGUAAGCAUUGCAUU
rnacentral:lncRNA from 1 species